UUCACGUGUUUGUGCAGUGCUGUAGUUCAGGUGUGUGUUUCACGUGUUUGUGAUUGUGCAGUGCUGUAGAUCAGUUGUGUGUUUCACGUGUUUGUGAUUGUGCAGUGCUGUAGUUCAGGUGUGUGUUUCACGUGUUUGUGAUUGUGUAGUGCUGUAGUUCAGGUGUGUGUUUCAUGUGUUUGUGAUUGUGCAGUGCUGUAGUUCAGGUGUGUGUUUCACAUGUUUCUGAUUGUGCAGUGCUGUAGAUCAGGUGUGUGUUUCACGUGUUUGUGAUUGUGCAGUGCUGUAGUUCAGAUGUGUUUCACGUGUUUGUGAUUGUGCAGUGCUGUAGUUCAGGUGUGUGUUUCACGUGUUUGUGAUUGUGCAGUGCUGUAGUUCAGGUGUGUGUUUCACCUGUUUGUGCAGUGCUGUA